rnacentral:rRNA from 1 species
GACGAACGCUGGCGGCGUGCUUAACACAUGCAAGUCGAACGGUGAAGCGCCUUCCUUUUUGGUGGGUGUGGAUGAGUGGCGAACGGGUGAGUAACACGUGAGUAACCUGCCCCCUUCUUCUGGAUAACCGCAUGAAAGUGUGGCUAAUACGGGAUAUUCUGGGUCUGUCGCAUGAUGGGUCUGGGAAAGAUAUUGUUUCGGUGGGGGAUGGGCUCGCGGCCUAUCAGCUUGUUGGUGGGGUGAUGGCCUACCAAGGCGGUGACGGGUAGCCGGCCUGAGAGGGUGGACGGUCACACUGGGACUGAGACACGGCCCAGACUCCUACGGGAGGCAGCAGGGGGGAAUAGUGCACAAUGGGAGCAAGCCUGAUGCAGCGACGCCGCGUGAGGGAUGGGGGCCUUCGGGUUGUGAACCUCUUUCGCCAGUGAAGCAGGCCUGCCUCGUUUGUGGGUGGGUUGACGGUAGCUGGAUAAGAAGCGCCGGCUAACUACGUG